CCUUCUCUCGCGAGGAAGGCCACUAUUAGAAGCUCCGAAAGAGAUAAGUCAGUUUCCAUCAUCCAGCCAGAGUGAAGGACCUACAUUGGAAAGCUUACAUACCCGCUUAAAAGUGGCUGAGAGGUCUUUGUUUUUGGUUGAUAAGAGGGUGUCCAGAAUUGAGAAGGUCCUCCGAGAUAAUGGUCUCUUAGUGGAUGACGAAAAUAUUAAGCAUGAUACAGAUUUUACUGAGGUGAGUGAAGAGCAUACUACAGUUGAAGCUAAGGACAAAGGUGUAGUGGAGAAAGAUGAGAUUCACGAUAGUGCAGAUGAGGUGGAGGUAUGUAAUUAUUUGAUUUUGAUAAAAUAUUUUUUUAUCAUUAUACUAUCUUGUUUAUU